AUUGAACGCUGGCGGUAGGCCUAACACAUGCAAGUCGAACGGCAGCACAGGAAGAGCCUUCUUUUAGGGUGGGCGAGUGGCGGACGGCUUAAGAAGACAUCGGAGCUUAUGGAUUCGAAGAUGUUAACGUAUGUAAUAUUACGCUAAUACCUCAUACUACCUAAGGGUGUAACCAUCGGGUCUUCGUACGUUGCUCCAUUCACUUAGCCGAUGUCGAAUUAGCUAGUUGGCGGGGUACAGGCCCACCAAGUCGACGAUCCGUAGCUGGUAUGAGAGGAUGACUAGCCACACUGGAACUGAGACACGGUCCAGACUACUACGGGAGGCAGCAGUGGGGAAUAUUGGACAAUGGGCGCAAGCCUGAUCCAGCCAUACCGCGUGCAUGACGAAGGCCUUCGGGUUGUAAAACCCUUUUGUUGGGAAAGAAAAGGAGCAGGUUAAUACCCGGCUGUCCUGACGGUACCCAAAGAAUAAGCACCGGCUAACUUCGUG
rnacentral:rRNA from 1 species